UGGGCAACCUGCCCUCAGCUCUGGGAUAACUCCAAGAAAUUGGGGCUAAUACCGGAUAUGACCGCUGACCGCAUGGUCUGGUGGUGGAAAGAUUUAUCGGCUGGGGAUGGGCCCGCGGCCUAUCAGCUUGUUGGUGGGGUAGUGGCCUACCAAGGCGACGACGGGUAGCCGGCCUGAGAGGGUGACCGGCCACACUGGGACUGAGACACGGCCCAGGCUCCUACGGGAG
rnacentral:rRNA from 1 species